ensembl:lncRNA novel transcript, overlapping LRRC14B
AUCACAGAAACUGCACAAAAUAAGCAGCCCAUGAAAAACAACCGAGAAAAAGAGGCGAAAAAUGAACAGCAAACCGGACCCUGCUUCCUCCAGCAGGAGGCUCCCACCCACUGCUGGUCACAACCCGCUGUCUGGACCUGCCGCUUACGGGAUGAGGUGGGCCUGCAGGGAACGCGGGGCUUCUGGUUGCUGUUAGUGGUGGCUUUUCUUCUCACUUUGUGUAGCCCCCAGAACCGUGAGGGGCAUCCGAGUGGGUGAGCACAGGCGUCCGCUGAAGAGCCGCCUGGACCAGGGCGGUCAGCGCUGCGGGGAGGCCUUUGCCCGACCGCGCCACUGUUUCUCACCAACAUUCACUGUGUCCUGCGGGGCUUGAGGCUUAGACUGACGGGAGCUAUUCCGGGUGUUUAAUUGAAGGUCUAGCACUUGACCAGCCCCUGGAGGAGCUGACAACCACCUAAGACACAUUUGGACUUGGUGUCCACCAAGAGUGACUUUGUGCAAAGAAAUGGCUGAGCACUAGAAUAACUAAAUGCAAAUAAAAUGCGUCUUUCAGUGCAGUUCAGA